UACAGAGGUCCCAAGCGUUGUUCGGAUUCACUGGGCGUAAAGGGUGCGUAGGCGGUCGGGUAAGUCUGACGUGAAAUCUUCAAGCUCAACUUGGAAACUGCGUCCGAUACUAUUCGGCUAGAGGAAUGGAGGGGAGACUGGAAUACUUGGUGUAGCAGUGAAAUGCGUAGAUAUCAAGUGGAACACCAGUGGCGAAGGCGAGUCUCUGGACAUUUCCUGAUGCUGAGGCACGAAAGCCAGGGGAGCAAACGGG
rnacentral:rRNA from 1 species